GAUGAACGCUGGCGGCGUGCCUAAUACAUGCAAGUCGAGCGAACAGAUGAGGAGCUUGCUCUUCUGACGUUAGCGGCGGACGGGUGAGUAACACGUGGAUAACCUACCUAUAAGACUGGGAUAACUUCGGGAAACCGGAGCUAAUACCGGAUAAUAUAUUGAACCGCAUGGUUCAAUAGUGAAAGACGGUUUUGCUGUCACUUAUAGAUGGAUCCGCGCCGCAUUAGCUAGUUGGUAAGGUAACGGCUUACCAAGGCAACGAUGCGUAGCCGACCUGAGAGGGUGAUCGGCCACACUGGAACUGAGACACGGUCCAGACUCCUACGGGAGGCAGCAGUAGGGAAUCUUCCGCAAAGGGCGAAAGCCUGACGGAGCAACGCCGCGUGAGUGAUGAAGGUCUUCGGAUCGUAAAACUCUGUUAUUAGGGAAGAACAAAUGUGUAAGUAUCUAUGCACGUCUUGACGGUACCUAAUCAGAAAGCCACGGCUAACUACGUG
rnacentral:rRNA from 1 species